rnacentral:rRNA from 1 species
CAGUCGCCGCGGGAAUACAGAGGGUGCGAGCGUUAAUCGGAUUUACUGGGCGUAAAGCGUGCGUAGGCGGCUAAUUGAGUCGGAUGUGAAAUCCCCGAGCUUAACUUGGGAAUUGCAUUCGAUACUGGUUAGCUAGAGUGUGGGAGAGGAUGGUAGAAUUCCAGGUGUAGCGGUGAAAUUCGUAGAGAUCUGGAGGAAUACCGAUGGCGAAGGCAGCCAUCUGGCCUAACACUGACGCUGAGGUACGAAAGCAUGGGGAGCAAACAGGAUUAGAUACCCCCGUAGUCCCUGUCUCUUAUAC